UGCUGGUCCUCCCGCGACGGCUAAGCGUGAACUCCGUCAGGCCCGGAAGGGAGCAGCGGUAGCGGUGAUGCCGGGUGCCGGGAUCAGGCUGGUACGG
rnacentral:SRP_RNA from 1 species